AACGAACGCUGGCGGCAUGCCUAACACAUGCAAGUCGAACGAGACCUUCGGGUCAAGUGGCGCACGGGUGCGUAACGCGUGGGAACCUGCCCUUAGGUUCGGAAUAACUCCCCGAAAGGGGUGCUAAUACCGGAUAAUGUCUUCGGACCAAAGAUUUAUCGCCUUUGGAUGGGCCCGCGUUGGAUUAGCUAGUUGGUAGGGUAAAAGCCUACCAAGGCGACGAUCCAUAGCUGGUCUGAGAGGAUGAUCAGCCACACUGGGACUGAGACACGGCCCAGACUCCUACGGGAGGCGGCAGUGGGGAAUAUUGGACAAUGGGCGAAAGCCUGAUCCAGCAAUGCCGCGUGAGUGAUGAAGGCCUUAGGGUUGUAAAGCUCUUUUACCCGGGAUGAUAAUGACAGUACCGGGAGAAUAAGCUCCGGCUAACUCCGUG
rnacentral:rRNA from 1 species